CUCUUGGCUUUCUACUUUCUCUCUUCUGACUUAUCCUUUUCCAAAAUGUCGAAAAGUUUGAAAGAGUACGAAGAAAGAGCAGUAUCGCUGGCUCUAAAUCAUCCAAAACUCCAAGACCUUACCAAUAGACUCAAAGCGGCUCGCAUGACUUGUCCUCUAUUUGACACAACACGCUGGGUGAGAAAUUUUGAAAGAGCGUAUUUCAAGAUGUGGAAUCUGUACUGCUCAGGUCAGCACCCUAAGC